ACUGUCUAUACAUAAACUGUAUCUAUAGUUUAGGGUUUAUGUCUACACAAGACUGUAUCUAUAGCUCAGGGUUUAUGUCUAUACAGGAACUGUCUAUACAUAAACUGUAUCUAUAGUUUCGGGUUUAUGUCUACACAGGAGCUGUAUCUAUAGCUCAGGGUUUAUGUCUAUACAGGAACUGUCUAUACAUAAACUGUAUCUAUAGUUUAGGGUUUAUGUCUAUACAGGAACUGUAUCUAUAGCUCAGGGUUCAUGUCUAUACGGAAACUUUAUUAAUUGUUCAUUUCUAAUCAUGAACGUUAUAGUAAGGGUUCAUGUCUAUACGGGAACUUUAUCAAUUGUUCAUUUCUAAUCAUGAACGUUAUAGUUCAGGGUUAAUGUCAUUUAUCAAUACAGAAAAUGUAUAAGAUUUAUGUUUAAACUUGAACUUUGUAGUUCAAAGUUUAUGGCAACUCAGAAACUUACGCUCACGCUUUAUGAACAGGCUUCUGCAAGUAUUCACCUUGACUGAGUAACUGACCAUUUACUGGAUGGAUAUGUCUGAGGAGAACACCGCCAGCUCUGUCAGAGAUCUUCGUCUUGUUCUUCUAAUCAUCUCAACCUGUUGUAUCCUUCUCUCUGUUAUCCUUAUUUUAACCCUCACAGGUUGGGUUCUGCUCUCUAGGUUCUCCAGGCUCUCUGGAUUCUCCGGGUCCUUACCCCCCUCUUCAACGAAGAACCCUGAAGCAUCAAAGAGUAAAAGUGUAACUUUUUCUAACAUCACAAGGAAUACUAAUUUGUCCGAAAAAGUAUAAAAAUUAAAGAGCUAAAGAAAGCCACCAGAGAUAUUUCAGUGUUGACAACCAAUCGUCUACUAAAACUAGUGAUUGAACCACGGUUCGUUUAAUUGAAAACUUUUUAAAAACUUCCGUUAUUUCAAAACUAUAUUCUGUUAAAGUUUGCAUUUAUCAAACUUUGCAAUAAUAUUUAUCCUCAGAGAAAAUAGAAUGGAAAACGAACUAUAAAAAACGAUUGUUUUGAAACAAUCGUUUUUGGUUCGUUUCUUGCAUAUCAUACCUAUAAGGAUCAAAAUUUGGCAAAGUGCAAAGAAAGAAAAUGUUGAGAAUUGAACAAUUUUUUAUUGAAUAGAAUCUUGCCCACAAAAGUUAAUUUUC